rnacentral:rRNA from 1 species
ACUGGAAACGGUAGCUAAUACCGCAUAACGUCGCAAGACCAAAGAGGGGGACCUUCGGGCCUCUUGCCAUCGGAUGUGCCCAGAUGGGAUUAGCUAGUAGGUGGGGUAACGGCUCACCUAGGCGACGAUCCCUAGCUGGUCUGAGAGGAUGACCAGCCACACUGGAACUGAGACACGGUCCAGACUCCUACGGGAGGCAGCAGUGGGGAAUAUUGCACAAUGGGCGCAAGCCUGAUGCAGCCAUGCCGCGUGUAUGAAGAAGGCCUUCGGGUUGUAAAGUACUUUCAGCGGGGAGGAA